rnacentral:sRNA from 1 species
UAUCUGGUCCGAUGAUGCCGUCAUAUGGCAGA